ensembl:ncRNA lncRNA:CR45677 long non-coding RNA:CR45677
AGUGACUGGAAGUUAUCAGGUGGGCGAACGUGACUUUGGCUACGGAAAUAUUUGCGACUUUGCUCCACAAUAGCAGUAAACUAAUAUUGUGAAUAGCUGCUGAAUGCGGAGGUCCCACCACUGUCAUCUGAUGUGCCGACGUGACGGGGACUUUCGCAUGUAUACCACCUACAUAUACUCGUGUACGUAAGACCCCCGAUUUUUGGCUCUGUGUGCGCCGUGCUCGAGCAUUUUUACCUGUGGUCGAGCACUUUGUUCAGAUUAUGAAAUUGCCGGAGAGAACGAGAACUGCGCAGAACGCGAAAACUGCUGACGACUACGCCACCUACAGAUUGUGACUAUCAAUUUUUUUGGGCUCAGUGCCACGCAUGAACUUUAACUAGAAUCGCCUGAUCGGUUUAGACCCGACUGGAAAAUACCCAUCGGGAACUGUAUGUAACCGCACUGGAAAUGUAUUC